CAAAAGCUGAAGCAUUCUCCAUUGGCACUACUAGUAAACAAACCCUUCCAUGUCAUUUGACCAGGGCAGAGCGAUCAAGAAAACAGAGUAAAUGGCUUGAAUGAAUGAUUUUCGUCUUGCGGGGUGCUACGGGACUUCUCAUUCAUAUUCAUACGGUUAUGGGAAGUCUCAUUAAUAUGCAAUGAGUCAUACGUGUCUCUAGCCAUGCUGCGUCCACUCUACCCCGUAGUUUGAACGAAGUGAAGUCAGUCGAAAUCAAAGGCGAAUGAUGAAAAUGCUACGUGAGGUAAAUUGCUUGGGGAACCCUCCGUCGGCCGUAGCCUAGGCCUAAUACAUUUCAACAGUCUGGUAGAGGUUAGCAAGAAAUGCAGUCGCUGGUGUUCAGAGUGUUCAACAUGGUGGAGGAGGCCAAGAAUGAGGAGCUUCAGAGGUGCAGAGAUGGGACCACUCAUAUCUGAGAAGUUUGCAGAGGAGACAUCUGCAAAGCCGAUUAGUCACAGACAAUAAGCUGGCGUGAAUCCUCGAGUCGUGUCUCGCCGACAAACACACACGCCAUCCUGAUGCCUGACAGAUCUGACCGAUGCUCAGCCCACAAACACUACAAACAGCACACACGCUUCUCAGUGGUGGAGUAUCAGAGGGCAGAGAGGCAGUCAGAGGGAAUAAAACAGCUCAGGGAGAGAUGCGGAAAGAUGUAACACGAUGAGCAACACACAGAAAAAGCAUUCAGAAAACACACUUGGACCAGGACAUCAUGUUGAAAGUUUAAUGGAGAUGGUGUUACAAAGUUUGGAAAGUAUCAACCAAACAAACAUGGAAAGACCACCAAAUAAGAUUGACAGAUUAAGAUAAAAUGAAGAAUACAUUGAGAAGAACAAGAGAAAGUCUCUCCUUAAACUAGCUAUCAGUGUUGAAUGUUUACUAGGUUGCCACAGAGAUCCAUUUACUUCCAAACCUCUGAGAUUGGUUUGACUGAUUAAGUUUUGGAAUGCAAAACCUGAGCCUUGAUUCAAGAUUGAAGAUUCAAUACUUUAUUGCCAUACAACUCAGUGCAAGUUGCUAGGGAUUUGCUUCAGUGUGCUCAUGAAGACAAAGACAUCACCAUAGACACACAGAAAAAGACAUAGAACACAAAUAUACAUACGGAGUCCCAUCCAGGAUCACAUUGGCAGAUAAAAGAGGGGGACACUUCUCACAACAUACCUGGAUGACAGUCCAGGAGGCUAGAGUGACAGGUCAGGUUAAAGUGACAUGGCGCAUAGGGAUGCAGAGUGC